rnacentral:rRNA from 1 species
CCUACGGGCGGCUGCAGUGGGGAAUAUUGGACAAUGGGCGAAAGCCUGAUCCAGCCAUGCCGCGUGUGUGAAGAAGGCCUUCGGGUUGUAAAGCACUUUCAGUGGGGAAGAAAGCCUUGGGGCUAAUACCCUCGAGGAAGGACAUCACCCACAGAAGAAGCACCGGCUAACUCCGUGCCAGCAGCCGCGGUAAUACGGAGGGUGCGAGCGUUAAUCGGAAUUACUGGGCGUAUAGCGCGCGUAGGCGGUCUGAUAAGCCGGUUGUGAAAGCCCCGGGCUCAACCUGGGAACGGCAUCCGGAACUGUCAGGCUAGAGUGCAGGAGAGGAAGGUAGAAUUCCCGGUGUAGCGGUGAAAUGCGUAGAGAUCGGGAGGAAUACCAGUGGCGAAGGCGGCCUUCUGGACUGACACUGACGCUGAGGUGCGAAAGCGUGGGUAGCAAACAGGAUUAGAUACCCCAGUAGUC